rnacentral:rRNA from 1 species
CUACCACAUCCAAGGAGGCAGCAGGCGCGCAAAUUACCCAAUCCCGACUCGGGGAGGUAGUGACAAUAAAUAACAAUGCUGGGCUAUCGUAGUCCGGCAAUUGGAAUGAGAACAAUCUAAAUCCCUUAACGAGGAACAAUUGGAGGGCAAGUCUGGUGCCAGCAGCCGCGGUAAUUCCAGCUCCAAUAGCGUAUAUUAAAGUUGUUGCAGUUAAAAAGCUCGUAGUUGGAUUUCGGGGCGGCCCGACUGGUCCGCCGCGAGGUGAGCACUGGUCGGCCGCCCUUCCUCUCGGAAGCCCCGACUGCUCUUCGUUGCAGUGGUCGGGGAGUUCGGGACGUUUACUUUGAAAAAAUUAGAGUGUUCAAGGCAGGCCUUCGCCUGAAUACAUUAGCAUGGAAUAAUGGAAGAGGACUUCGGUCCCGUUUUUGUUGGUUUCUUGGACCGAAGUAAUGAUUAAGAGGGACAGUU